AAAGGAAAAGUGUGCAGUGUUGGAAAACGAACAAAGGUACGGGGAUGACCAAAUUAGAUUAGAUGAAAUUUUCAUUAUGGAAACGGAAGUAAAUUUCAUUGUUCUAAGGCAUACUUUUGGGAUGAAAUGCUUUUCACUUCCGAUAUGAUUGUAAACGCGUACUCGUAUUAAAAAAUGGAGAAAUUGAUCUAAUUCAAAAUCACUUUUAUUUGUUAAUGACAUAUUUCUACCAUUAUAAAGAAGCUACGUUUAGUUUUCUAAUUACACAAAGCUAUAUUUAUGUUAUUUUAUUUCUUCUCCUUAGCGUGUAACUUGGAGUUAAUCAUAUCUUUGAAUU